UACGUAGGUGGCAAGCGUUGUCCGGAAUUAUUGGGCGUAAAGCGCGCGCAGGUGGUUUCUUAAGUCUGAUGUGAAAGCCCACGGCUCAACCGUGGAGGGUCAUUGGAAACUGGGGAACUUGAGUGCAGAAGAGGAAAGUGGAAUUCCAAGUGUAGCGGUGAAAUGCGUAGAGAUUUGGAGGAACACCAGUGGCGAAGGCGGGUUGCUGGGCUGACACUGACGCUGAUGCGCGAAAGCCAGGGGAGCGAACGGG
rnacentral:rRNA from 1 species